ACAAGUAUAUAGAAGCAAUGCAUAUAAUAUUCAUAGUCUUUUGUAAUUUGAAAGUGUUACUUAAAAUACUUUUGAAUUAUUAAAAAGUAUUGCAAAAUUUGUCAUAUGAAAAUAGCUAAUAAAAUAGUGCAAAUAUGAUUCUCACUAUCUUUACAUUUUUCAUGUUGACUUUAGUAAGUUUAACUUAUGCUGGAAUGAAUGAACAAUUUGUGGUUAAAAUCUGUUUGGACUUACGUGUUGUAGUUGCCUUUGCUUUUUUUGCGCUCAUAAUUACUUUCAUUAAACGGGUGGUUCGCGAUGCCGAUGAUAUCUUACGUGAAGUGCAGCUAGCUAAUUCUGCUAAGCAAAAUUAAGGAGGUUCAUAAUGACUGAUAUUAACAUAGAAAAGAAAUUGCGAUUUGCAUGUAGAACAUAUUAAAUCCUUAGACUCUGAUAUGACCGAACUCCUCCACUUCCUGCAAGAAAAGUAAACUUUGGAUUUAAAAUGCGCUACAUUUUUGAGGGCGAAAGUCGAAUCAAAUUUGUAUGACAGAAAUUACAGAAAUAAAUUUCAAGUAGUAGAUAAAUUUUCAUUAUAUACAUUCAUUAUAUAACACUCACACUUAUGUAAAACAAACGAAACAAUAAAUAUACAUCUAACAUA